GACGAACGCUGGCGGCGUGCUUAACGCAUGCAAGUCGAACGGAAAGGCCCUGCCUUUGUGGGGUGCUCGAGUGGCGAACGGGGGAGUAACACGUGAGUAACCUGUCCUUGACUUUGGGAUAACUUCAGGAAACUGGGGCUAAUACCGGAUAGGAGCUCCUGCUGCAAGGUGGGGGUUGGAAAGUUUCGGCGGUUGGGGAUGGACUCGCGGCUUAUCAGCUUGUUGGUGGGGUAGUGGCUUACCAAGGCUUUGACGGGUAGCCGGCCUGGGAGGGUGACCGGCCACAUUGGGACUGUGAUACGGCCCAGACUCCUACGCGAGGCAGCAGUGGGGAAUAUUGCACAAUGGGCGGAAGCCUGAUGCAGCAACGCCGCGUGCGGGAUGACGGCCUUCGGGUUGUAAACCGCUUUCGCCUGUGACGAAGCGUGAGUGACGGUAAUGGGUAAAGAAGCACCGGCUAACUACGUG
rnacentral:rRNA from 1 species